UGGGGAAUUUUGCGCAAUGGGGGAAACCCUGACGCAGCAACGCCGCGUGAGUGAUGAAGGCCUUCGGGUCGUAAAGCUCUGUCAGAGGGGAAGAAAUGCAGGGGUGCUAAUAUCAUCUUGCUGACGUACCUCAA
rnacentral:rRNA from 1 species